UCCUAGUGUUAUUACACCUGAGCACACCCUUAGGUAGUCGCUGUAAGUUCUGUGUUUUGUUAGGAUCAAUCACUUACCACUUUGUUAGGAUCAAUCGCUUACCACUUAUAGCUAGUAGCGAAGACCAACUUUAUUUCUUCACAUUUUCGAGAUGCUGGUGCUGGACUUGGCCCUUUAAGUCCUUUACCGGCUUCCGCCCAACAAUCCCCCAACCACCAUUGGGUGCUAAACUUGGCCUUUACUGUCCUUCUCCCUACAAGUUCAAACUACUUUUAGUUGAGGUAGAACACAUCCUCCAACUCAUCCUAGUACUACUCUUGGGAUGCAUUAGUGUUCGUAUUAUCACAUCUAUGAUUUUGUAAGGAUGGUUGCCCUUUGUGUAUUUACAUGUGCAUAUAUGUAUAAACACAUGCGUAUAUGACUUCCAAACAACAUCUACACCUGCUAGUCUCACCUAAUGAGACUUUGAUACUAUGGGAAGUGAAGGGCUGUAACUUCAAAAACUGAAGAGGCUGUGAUGAUAUAUUUUUAGCAAUACUAUUUAGUUUGGGAAAUAGAUUUUGAGGUAUUCCAUAUUUCAAUUAGCUUGGCUUUGGCAACCGUAAUGUUCUGUGAUUUGGGAGAAUGAAAAUGAGGUAAAACAGAAGCAUGUUUCUCUUUGUUCUUAUUCUUCAUAUCUCACAAGGCAAUUGUUGUUACUAGCCUGGGUGAUUGGUAAUUUGGCUCCUUUUCUUGAUUAAUUAAGUGAAAAUGUAAGCCUCUUAUAUAUAAUAUAUAUAAAAACAUCUUUCUUGUGUUUUCACAAAUGCAGCUACACAGGGAAGUGGUGAUAACUGAUAAUCACCAGUUGUCCCAACAAAACAUAUAGCAUCUGGUAUCUCUAUUAGAGAAUGUGAUUAUUAAUUCUCCUUCCUUUGGGUGAGCGGUGAGAUUUAGUUGAUUUUUUAAAGAUACAUCUGUAUGGGAGUGAGGGUGAUAAUAAUAAGCAUAAUACUCCAUAUGGAAAUUGUGGCUGUCUUAAGACCCUACACUCUAAACCCUAAACAGUAUGAAAGAGGCUGUGAUGAUUCUUUAUACUUGUCUGAAAAUCUGUUACCUGUAUCUCGGCAUGGCAAUUUUUUUGCAGCUAGGCAGGUUAACCCUUCAUUUAUUGGUUGAUAGAGAAAAGGCAAAUCUGAGCUUCAUUUACUGAUUUUACUUUCUCCCCCUCAGUAAACUUCCCAUGUUUAUUUAUUUAUUUCUUGGGAGGAAGGCAAACUUAUAAAGUCUUUAUUUUGAGAAUGAGGCUUAACUUCAGAGAGGCAUGAGUUCUUAAGGGUGGUUUCCCCUCUCUGUAACUUUGCCAAUGAUUUCAUCACUAUCAGAAAGAGGAACUAAAAAUAGAAGAAACAGCCCUCGUUUUAUGUAUGUACAUAUCCAUUCCAACCAAACAUCCCCUACUUUAAAAGUUUCAUAAUUAAAACUUAUAGGGUGGUCUUUAACCC